AGGAUUUGCACAUGGGGGAACCUGAUGCAUGCUAUACCGCGUGUGUGAUGAAGGUCUUAGGAUUGUAAAACACUUUCAGCAAGAGGAAAAAAUUAUAUAAAUAAUACUUAUAUUAACUGAUAUUACCUGCAAAAGAAGUACCGGCUAACUCCAUGCCAGCAGCCGCGGUAAUACGGAGGGUACAAGCGUUAAUCGGAAUUAUUGGGCGUAAAGAGUACGUAGGUGGUAUAUUAAGUCAGAUGUGAAAUACUUAAGCUUAACUUAAGAACUGCAU
rnacentral:rRNA from 1 species